AAUAUUGGACUAUGGGCGAAAGCCUGAUCCAGCCAUGCCGCGUGUGUGAAGAAGGUCUUCGGAUUGUAAAGCACGUUAAGUUGGGAGGAAGGGCAGUCAGUUAAUACCUUGCUGUUUUUACGUUACUGACAGAAUAAGCACCGGCUAAAUUCCUUCCAUCAGUCGCGGUAAACCGAUGGGUGCAAGCGUUAAUCGGAAUUACUGGGCGUAAAGCGCGCGUAGGUGGUUCGUUAAGUUGGAUGUGAAAGCCCCGGGCUCAACCUGGGAACUGCAUCCAAAACUGGCGAGCUAGAGUACGGUAGAGGGUGGUGGAAUUGCCUGUGUAGCGGUGAAAUGCGUAGAUAUAGGAAGGAACACCAGUGGCGAAGGCGACCACCUGGACUGAUACUGACACUGAGGUGCGAAAGCGUGGGGAGCAAACAGG
rnacentral:rRNA from 1 species